rnacentral:rRNA from 1 species
GUUGUGAGGUUAAGCGGCUAAGCGUACACGGUGGAUGCCCUGGCAGUCAGAGGCGAUGAAGGACGUGCUAAUCUGCGAUAAGCGUCGGUAAGGUGAUAUGAACCGUUAUAACCGGCGAUUUCCGAAUGGGGAAACCCAGUGUGAUUCGUCACACUAUCAUUAACUGAAUCCAUAGGUUAAUGAGGCGAACCGGGGGAACUGAAACAUCUAAGUACCCCGAGGAAAAGAAAUCAACCGAGAUUCCCCCAGUAGCGGCGAGCGAACGGGGAGGAGCCCAGAGCCUGAAUCAGUGUGUGUGUUAGUGGAAGCGUCUGGAAAGGCGCGCGAUACAGGGUGACAGCCCCGUACACAAAAAUGCACAUGCUGUGAGCUCGAUGAGUAGGGCGGGACACGUGGUAUCCUGUCUGAAUAUGGGGGGACCAUCCUCCAAGGCUAAAUACUCCUGACUGACCGAUAGUGAACCAGUACCGUGAGGGAAAGGCGAAAAGAACCCCGGCGAGGGGAGUGAAAAAGAACCUGAAACCGUGUACGUACAAGCAGUGGGAGCACGCUUAGGCGUGUGACUGCGUACCUUUUGUAUAAUGGGUCAGCGACUUAUAUUCUGUAGCAAGGUUAACCGAAUAGGGGAGCCGAAGGGAAACCGAGUCUUAACUGGGCGUUAAGUUGCAGGGUAUAGACCCGAAACCCGGUGAUCUAGCCAUGGGCAGGUUGAAGGUUGGGUAACACUAACUGGAGGACCGAACCGACUAAUGUUGAAAAAUUAGCGGAUG